UCCUCGAACUUGGGAUUCCCACCAUUAGAGGGCUCAGCUUUGAGACUCUGGGGUGACCAUUGCUGAUGUCCGGAGGUUCUAAAACAAAAGCUAAAGCAGGUGGACUCUUAGGAAGAAGCAGUCCCGCCUAGGGCCCACAGGAAGUUACCCUUGAUGAAACAGUCAGUGAUGUCAUCACAAAAGAGGGUGGGGGAAUCACCAAGGAGCAGUCGUCUGGUUUUUAAGGGAAACUGCUUUCCAGUUCAAUGUUUCUGGGAUCCUAUCAAUUAUCCUAUAAGCACAGCAAUUUAAAUCGCCUGCUCCUAUCCUUGGAAAGAAAGGAUGGAAUCGCUGUUUCUGUCACAACUCAAAAGGAAUUUGAGAAGAUGUCUUACCAAUAAUACAAGUUCUGGGUGGUGUGACAGAACUGCAGUUUUCCUUCCUCAAUCCAUUUCAUGCUUCUUCCGGAUGGUACAAAACUAGACCAUGUGUUUUCCAGGUUCCUUUAAAGCAAUGUGGCAUGUGACUAAAUUCUGUUCCAUGAAUGUGAGAGGAAGCAAUGUGUGGCCGUGGCUGUGACCCAGUGUUGAGCAUGCAGAUGAGAACGACCUUCUAAGAGCUGACACACUGGCGAGAUGGAGGGGACUUGAGUUCCUGACUGGUUUCAGGGAGAGCAGUCACCCUACCCACCACCCACAAACUAUACAACUGUGAAAUAAAUAAUAUUACAUAAGUCA